rnacentral:rRNA from 1 species
UACGUAGGGGGCUAGCGUUGCUCGGAAUUACUGGGCGUAAAGCGUGCGUAGGCGGUUUGAUAAGUCGGGUGUGAAAGCCUCUGGCUUAACCUGGGAAUUGCAUUCGAUACUAUCUGACUCGAGUUUGGGAGAGGGAAGCGGAAUUCCGGGUGUAGCGGUGAAAUGCGUAGAUAUCCGGAGGAACAUCAGUGGCGAAGGCGGCUUCCUGGCCUAAGACUGACGCUGAGGUACGAAAGCGUGGGGAGCAAACAGG